rnacentral:rRNA from 1 species
CCAACCUACGGGGGGCAGCAGUAGGGAAUCUUCCACAAUGGGCGAAAGCCUGAUGGAGCAACGCCGCGUGGGUGAAGAAGGUCCUCGGAUCGUAAAACUCUGUUGUUGGAGAAGAAAGUGCGUGAGAGUAACUGUUCACGUUUCGACGGUAUCUAACCAGAACGCCACGGCUAACUACGUGCCAGCAGCCGCGGUAAUACGUAGGUGGCAAGCGUUAUCCGGUUUUAUUGGGCGUAAAGGGAACGCAGGCGGUCUUUUAAGU